CCUGGGAUUGGUGACGUAGAGAAGACCAACAUUAUCAUAGUUCAGCCCUCUCUGCUUUGCUUGGGUACGCCCUCAAAGACGGGGGUGGAGAGCCCUGAGUCAGAAGAGAGCUAAAAUGGCGGAGGUUGGGAGUCCCUGCUUUGACCCUGUUUGCAAACUCUUGUUUCAUCGUUUAAGCGAUUAAAUCUCUCGAGUAGACGCUGUCUCUUUAGAUGCGAGGGCAAAAUAGCACUUUAUGGACUUACACAGAGGACAUCAUGUUUAAUACGAUUCCGGAAAAAUCCAGUCAGAAGUUGUUCACGGAGUUUUCACAAUAACUGCUUCUCAUGAACCGAAGCUGCGCGACGUCUCCUCCUGAAAGUUGGAUUACUGUGCACUUCUGGAUCACAGGCUAUUCGCAGCUGGACACAUCCUUCUACACUGUAUGCAAACAUGCAACAUCAUUACACACAGUACAAGGAGUUAGACUGGCAUAUGAGGAGCAAAGGAACCCAGGCAGUAGCAUCGUUUCACAAUGUUUCCAUCACCAUCAUCAGUGGAUGCCUUUGCCGUCCGUACCCUGAGAUUUCAGAUUUGCAGCAAAAAAUGUGACUUUCCCAUUUAUUGGAAUGCUGUGCAGGUUGUACCUUGCAGCCAUCCAUUACAAUGUCACCAAGCCGUAACAAAAGCAGGAGAGGGAAAGUACAAGGCUAUGUUCCCAAAACACACAAGUGACAUACCUUAUGUGGAUGAUGUGAUCAGGCUUGUGUUUGAUGAGGUAUUUGAAGAUAAGCUGAAGGAAACCCCAAUUCCAAUGGACCUGGCAUCACAGUUUGAGAGACCUUCAAAGGAGGACGUGAUUGCAUGCCAUCUUCAGUGCAGGGGUCGUCGGAAGCCAACAUUCCGAUCAGGAAGCUCCAAGCAUAUCUGGAGAACAACACACGACAGGAUGAUAACCCUAAAGUGUCAUCUUAGAUAGCAUCAGCUGACAAAGCUUUGAUAUGCCAUUUAUCUGAAUAGAUAGCUGUAAGAAGUGAAUUGAACAAUUUUUGAAAGAAGAGCACAAUAUGGUUACUUAAGUAUG